AAGAUUCUGACCUUCGGGUCUAACUUUUCAGCUGUGCGCUUCGGCUGCACGCUGAUAAAACCUUACACACCUGUGCACAUUUCGGUCGCAAUCCUGCAUGCAGGUUUGCUUCCGCUUUCACAUACAACCACAUGUCUUGAAUGUAAAAAACUAUAAAAGUAA
rnacentral:misc_RNA from 1 species